GAUGAAGAACGUAGCGAAAUGCGAUACUUGGUGUGAAUUGCAGAAUCCCAUGAACCAUCGAGUCUUUGAACGCAAGUUGCGCCCGAAGCCAUCAGGUUGAGGGCACGUCUGCCUGGGCGUCACAUAUCGUUGCCCAAUGCCUAUUGCAGUGCAAUAGGAAUUUCUAGGGCGAAUGAUGGCUUCCCGUGAGCGUUGUUGCCUCGCGGUUGGUUGAAAAUCGAGUCCUUGGUAGGGUGUGCCAUGGUAGAUGGUGGUCGAGUUAGAACGAUACCGAUCAUGUGCAUGCUCCCCAAAAUAUGGCCUCUAUGACCCACACGCGUCUUUUGACGCUCAUGACGAGACCUCAGGUCAGGCGGGGCUACCCGCUGAAUUUAAGCAUAUCAAUAAGCGGAGGA
rnacentral:misc_RNA from 1 species